rnacentral:rRNA from 1 species
AGUGAACGGCUGGCGGCGUGCCUAACACAUGCAAGUCGUACGGGUGUAGCAAUACACCAGUGGCGAACGGGUGAGUAACGCGUAGGUAACCUGCCCUCGGAUGGGGGAUAACGGUCCGAAAGGAUCGCUAAUACCGCAUAUGAGCGCGGCGAAAGCCGUUGCUUGAAAGCCGGCCGGGUUUCCGGCUGGCGUCCGGGGAGGGGCCUGCGUCCGAUUAGGUAGUUGGCGGGGUAAUGGCCCACCAAGCCGACGAUCGGUAGCUGGUCUGAGAGGACGGCCAGCCACAGUGGAACUGAGACACGGUCCACACUCCUACGGGAGGCAGCAUG